rnacentral:lncRNA from 1 species
CAAGGCACCUUGCAGGAAAAAAGAGGGCAUUUUCAGAGAGGAGACACAGCGAGGUCCAGUGGGAGUGAUGCACCCUGCAGUCGGAGACUGAGACAAAUAUGGGAUCUGAGCACCAGGCCAGUCAGGAAGCUGGACACGGAAGCAACCAGGAGUUGGGAGAAGAUGGUUCUAAACCCUCUCUCUCACCCCACCCUGCCUGAGUCUGCAUGUCGCCAGCCUGGUAAACGGAGGUGUUUGUGCCUUCAGUGUUCUGCAGAUGACUCUGGCCUCCUACCUCUCAGCUGUGGCAGACAUAGGAAAGUGACACCCAGGCCCCUCUUCCAGGGUCAGCAGAGCACCCUCACAGAAACCACCAUCCGACCUUCUGUCUCGAUGAAUGUGAUAACAUGAGGUGUCU